ACCUAUUUUCUAUUUGCUGGUUCAAUCAUGACCUCUGGUGUUGUCCAUGUGGAGUUUACACAUUCUCCCUGUGACAAUAUGGGUUUCUCCCAAGUGUCUGGUUUUCCCCCCACAUCCCAAA